AUUGAACGCUGGCGGCAUGCCUAACACAUGCAAGUCGAGCGAGCGGCGGACGGGUGAGUAAUGUAUGGGGACUGCCCGAUAGAGGGGGAUAACUACUGGAAACGGUAGCUAAUACCGCAUACUAUCGGAUAACCCAUAUGGGAUUAGCUAGUAGUUGAGGUAAUGGCUCACCUAGGCGACGAUCCCUAGCUGGUCUGAGAGGAUGAUCAGCCACACGGGGACUGAGAAACGGCCCAGACUCCUACGGAGGCAGCAGUGGGGAAUAUGGGACAAUGGGCGCAAGCCUGAUGCAGCAAUACCGCGUGUAUGAAGAAGGCGCUAGGGUUGUAAAGUACUGUCAGUCGGGAGGCGUUACCGACAGAAGAAGCACCGGCUAACUCCGUGACAGCAGCCGCGGUAAUAC
rnacentral:rRNA from 1 species